AGGAUAAUAGUUAAACAUAACAUUUAAUUUGCAUUUAAAAAGUAUUGAUAAUUCAAUUUAUCUUA
rnacentral:tRNA from 1 species